UCGCUACUACCGAUUGGAUGGUUUAGUGAGGCUCACGGACUGUGGUGACCGGUAACUUGUUACUGGACGCAUGCAGGAAGUGAAACAAACUUGAUCAUCUAGAGGAAGUAA
rnacentral:rRNA from 1 species